GCCAUUUUUAGAGCGUGAGGUGCCCAGUGAUCCGACUGACGAGUCCCGGCGUAGUGCGACUCCAGCCGCUCAGGGUUCUGCGACGUACAUUAACCACAGCCGCACUUUGGCCGUCACCACCCAACACACCGACGAUGUCCUCAUGAAACUCGACCUGGUGGGGAUAACUGAAAAGAAAAUAAGAGUCACAAGUGGUCCCAAGGCUUCCAGUUUCUGAUUCCAUCAAGAGAUCUGCGCUGUCCCACAUGGCAGCCACUAGCCACAGCCACGUGAAAUGUGGCUAGUCCGAAUUGAGUUGUGCUGUGAAACACACAUGGUAUUUUGAAGACCUAGCAUAAAAAAAUAUGUAUUGAUUACAUGUUGAAAUGAUAAUGUGUUUUGAUAUAUUGGUUUAAAUAAAAAUGCCUUAUUAAAA